GCGAGAACAAUAGGCGGCUCUGCGGGCCAGAAUGUCAGGCACUGUGUCGUAGUAUUCUCAGCUCUUCGAAAACGAAAAACAUCUUAAUUUUACGCUAUCGGAUUCAAACACACGGUAUCGACCCAAUCCCUUCAAGGGAAAUGUUGAUUAAAGAAUCCGCUACAGACAAAAACAUUUUAACGCAGGUCUAGUUCAACAACCGUUACAGCAAGCCUUACUCGAAGACCAACGUCAAUUUGAACCGCUCUAAUUCACUACAUGUACAUUUAAAUAAACUUUAAUAUUUAAAAAGAGUACUAAUAAUCACAUUGAUUGUAAUUCGGUACAACCCCAUGGUUUUAUCAUGCAGUUUCCAAAUGUAAAAGCAGUAAAAGUAAAUAUUUGUUUCGGGGAGCUUUACGAAGGUAAGUUGCUGACGAUUCCUGCCUGUUACAUCACAGCCUGUCAGAGCUCAAAGGAGAGGACGGAAUAGAUACAGAGAGGGAGACACCGGCAGCCGACGUCAAAAACGGAGGAUUGAAAAAGAGGGUCGCGCGGGAGAAAAUAAACGAUAACAGUGCUUACUACAAUAAUAAUAAUUUAGGUUAUUAAUUACUCUAAAGUAAAGAACAACUAAACUGAAGAAAACAACAAAAAUAUUGUUGAGACGCAAUAACAAUAGUAAGCCACAGUGACACUGUGUCACGCAAAUAUUUAAUGUAGAAAAUCAAGUUGAAUCAACAGUAUCUGUAGGAGGGAAAGAGUAACCCAGGAAAUUUACGAGAGAAAGGCACGACUGAGAAGAGUGACAGACACAUCCCGAAGAAGAGGAGAGCCGGUUACACGAUUUUUUUAUCGGGCUCGAGUGAUCUCUUGCCAAGAAAAAAAUUAACUGGAGCCCACCGUUUAUAACCGAUUUAAACUGGGAGUAGGAAGCACAAAGGGUAGAAGGACCUCGACUGAAGAAUUGGAGAAACAUACAGAAGGAACGACAAAUAAAGGAAAAACAAAGAAAAUAGAUAAGCUACGCCAAAUAGUGGGUUUGGGACAUAUACAUAUUUGCAAUUUUCUUCUGAAAUUUGUCCAGGUUGGUUCUGGUAUUAGCCUAUGUGAUCCUUCGCACGUAACAUUUCUACAUAUGUAUGUAGUUACAACGUUAACCUAACCGGACAAAGAGAAGCGCCAUACAUUGACAUAGGCUACGGUCCCUCUACACCUACAGCUGGUUAAACAAAGGAAACCUACAGAAACACUGUUACUGUUGGUUUGCAUGAAUCAUUUUCGGUUGAAGAAGGGCACUGAAGAAUAUCGUAACUAGAAGUCCCCGAGUCCUCCUCACUCCCCGCGCAGCGGUCUAGUGUCGAUCCCCGGGGCGCGUCGGUCGCUCUCCCCGCACCGUCUCAAUGAAGGAGGCCGACGCUAUUAAACUGUUUAUCGGCCAGAUUCCUCGGAAUCUGGAAGAAAAGGACCUGAAACCCAUCUUCGAGCAGUUCGGGAAGAUCUAUGAGCUGACGGUGAUAAAGGACAAAUAUACCGGGAUGCACAAAGGAUGUGCCUUCCUGACGUACUGCGCGCGGGAGUCUGCCCUCAAAGCCCAGAGUGCCCUGCACGAGCAGAAGACCCUCCCGGGGAUGAACCGCCCCAUCCAGGUGAAGCCCGCGGACAGCGAGGGCCGAGGAGAAGACAGGAAGCUGUUUGUGGGCAUGCUGGGGAAGCAGCAGUCGGACGAGGACGUGAGGAAGAUGUUCGAGCCCUUCGGGAGCAUCGACGAGUGCACGGUGCUGCGGGGCCCAGACGGCACCAGCAAAGGUUGCGCCUUUGUGAAAUUCCAGAGCCACGCAGAGGCGCAGGCCGCCAUCAACACGCUGCACGGGAGCCGCACCCUGCCGGGUGCUUCCUCCAGUCUGGUCGUGAAGUUUGCCGACACCGAGAAGGAGCGAGGACUGCGGCGCAUGCAGCAGGUGGCCUCCCAGCUGGGCAUCUUCAGUCCCAUGACCUUGAACUUCGGAGCUUACAACGCCUACACACAGGCUGUGAGUGUUGUGCCGAGGAGCCUACGAUUGGUCCAACAGCAGGCCCUGGUUGCACAGUCAGCAUACUUGUCGCCCGUGGCAACAGUUGCCGCGGUGCAGAUGCAGCAGAUGGCUGCACUCAAUGCCAAUGGCAUCAUUGCCACGCCCAUCACACCCAUCACCCCCUCUUCGGAUUCUAGUAGCUGUCAAUCACAAUCUCUCCUGCACUGUGAUUGGUCCUCCUGGUUUGCAGGUACAAAUACCCCCCCAACAAUCGCAGCCACACCUGUGCCAGCACUACCUCCGCCAAUUGGAGUCAACGGGUAUAGCCCUGUGCAAGCCCCUGCCAAUGGACAGCCAGCGUCCGAAACACUGUACACCAAUGGUGUUCAUCCGUACCAAGCCCAGAGUCCAGCUGCAGCCUUGGACCCCCUUCAGCAAGCUUAUGCAGGCAUGCAACACUAUACAGCGGCGUACCCUGCUGCGUAUGGAUUAGUUGGCCAGCCGUUCCCACAGCAACCCACCCUGGUUGCCCAGCAACACCAGCAGCCCCAGCAACAGCAACAGCGCGAAGGUCCUGAGGGAUGUAAUAUCUUCAUCUACCACCUGCCCCAGGAGUUCACUGACUCAGAGAUGCUGCAGAUGUUCCUGCCCUUUGGCAACGUCAUCUCCGCCAAGGUCUUUGUUGACCGCGCCACCAACCAGAGCAAGUGUUUUGGCUUUGUGAGCUUCGACAACCCCGCCAGCGCCCAGACGGCCAUCCAGGCCAUGAACGGCUUCCAGAUCGGCAUGAAGCGGCUGAAGGUGCAGCUGAAGAGGCCCAAGGACGCCAACCGGCCGUACUGAGGCUCCGGGGGGAGCCGGAGAGAGAUCCUCCUGUCCAAUCAUAAAUUGUGAAGACUCCGUCGCUAUGGCUAUGGUUACCUAGCAACCGAUAAAGCCCUGCCCCCCCUUCCUCUCACGUUGUUGUGAAGAUUCAGUAGAUGCCUGUGGAGAGUUUCCAGUGAAUGCUGCCUCAGACUGCGGUGUCUGUUAAGCAUCAGGACGUCCUAUCUAAAGUCACAACUGCACAAUCACACGUCAGACACACGACUCCAUGCUCAGCAUAUUUAUCAAUAUGUACGGACCAAUGUAAAAAGAAAAAAAAAGACACAUAUCCAGUGGAAAACACAAAGACAUGUCUGCAAGACAGACCCGAGACUCGUGUACAGACACACUUACAAAACACACAGACAUACUAACCCCUGACCAUCUUAUCCAGAUUGAACUAGAUUUGACUGGGGUCUAGGAGGGGUUUAUUCCAGGUGUACAGCACAUGAAGAAGGGGUUAGAGGAGCAGGAAUGAAAGACGGUAUUAAAGUUGAGUGAGGGCACUGAUGAAAAAAGAGUAAUUAAGUAUAAUAUAUUACUUCUUCUGGUCUAUCAUAUGUUGUGAAGAGUUAGCUUCUCUUUCUGAAAAGAAAAAAAACUGAAAAAGAUUUGACUCAGCAAGCGUAGUUUAGAAAGACAAAGAAAAACGCUUAUAACUGUAAAUAAUUUAGUUUAAGAAGAGUAAAGAAAAAAGAAAAAAAUGCAAAACUAAGAAUCCUUUACAUAAAAAUAUGAAAAACAAUGAGAUAUUAUUAUUAUUGUUAUGAUUAUUAUUAUCAAGGGAUUAUUGCAUUUAAAAAUGGGAAGGGGUUGAAAAAAGUUCAACAUAUUUUCAAUUUCAGCUUAGUUUUGUUGAAAUGUGGGUGGGAAGGCAGAAAACUUGGGAGUUUUAAUAUUUGAAGUAUUUUUUAUUUAUUAAUUAAUUUAUGAAUUCCUUUUUGGUGAGCGGGUAAAACACUGAGGAAAAGAGUUGGGGGAACUUUUUUGAUUUUAGGAUUUUUUAGAGAAAUCCAUUUUUGUGGGUCUGUAUAUCUCACACUUUGUAAUUGCAUAAUUAUAAUUAUGAAAUGAUCAUUAUAAUGAUUAUCAUAAUUUAUUUCUUAUUUAUUGCUUCUUGUUUUUGAUCCAAUCUCUCUUUUUAAGUUAAAAUAAAAAAACAAAUAAUAA